CUUUACUACAACUUUGCAUUGGACUUUGAAUAAACUUGUGUAGGAUAGGUGGGAGGCGGUGAUACUCAGUCGCUAGGCUGAGAGGAGUCAACCUUGAAAUACCACCCUAGUUUGUUUGGAGUUCUAACGUUGGCCCAUAAUCUGGGUUGCGGACAUUGUAUGGUGGGUAGUUUGACUGGGGCGGUCUCCUCCCAAAGAGUAACGGAGGAGCGCGAAGGUACCCUCGGCAUGGUCGGAAAUCAUGCUAUGAGUGCAAAAGCAUAAGGGUGCUUGACUGCGAGACAGACAAGUCGAGCAGGAACGAAAGUUGGUUUUAGUGAUCCGGUGGUUCUGUGUGGAAGGGCCAUCGCUUAACGGAUAAAAGGUA
rnacentral:rRNA from 1 species